GAGGAAUUGCCCUUUAAAGUGGUGGGGAAGGAGGUCCAGAAGGAGCGUGAAGAUGAAUCCAAACAGUGCUCUCUCGGAAGGACGCAGGAGAGGACACAAAGAAGGGGCUUUGCAGAAAGGCCUCAGACACUGAGGACCCCCACCGGACAGCAGUGCUCAGCAGUCUCCUCCACCGCCAUGUGAUUUCUCUCCCACAAGGAAGCACCCCCGACCACCAACUCCGGGCUCCCAGAGUGCCCCUUCUCAGUGGAGCCCUCCAUCCCCCUCAUGUGACCGAGACAUCUCCGCGACGCAACCGCCAGACUAACGGCUUCGAUGUCACGCCUUCCACCUUAAUGACAGGUGCACGCAGACCAAGGCUGCUGCCAGCCAGGGCGUCUGGCUGACAUCACACCGCGCUGCGAAGAGCCGCACACCCUAAGGGGACUGCGGCCCUAAUAGGCUCCUCCAGCUGCCUCCCCAUCAAUCCUGACACUGGACGCUUUCUUCUUCCUCCCCACGGCUGCCUUA
rnacentral:lncRNA from 1 species